UACGGAGGAUCUAAGCGUUAUCCGGAUUUAUUGGGUUUAAAGGGUGCGUAGGCGGAUUGAUAAGUUAGAGGUGAAAUGUCCGAGCUCAACUCGGGAACUGCCUCUAAUACUGUUGAUCUAGAGAGUAGAUGCGGUAGGCGGAAUGUAUGGUGUAGCGGUGAAAUGCUUAGAGAUCAUACAGAACACCGAUUGCGAAGGCAGCUUACCAAUCUAUAUCUGACGUUGAGGCACGAAAGCGUGGGGAGCAAACAGG
rnacentral:rRNA from 1 species